GACGAACGCUGGCGGCGUGCUUAACACAUGCAAGUCGAACGGAAAGGCCCUGCUUUUGUGGGGUGCUCGAGUGGCGAACGGGUGAGUAACACGUGAGUAACCUGCACUUGACUUUGGGAUAACUUCAGGAAACUGGGGCUAAUACCGGAUAGGAGCUCCUGCUGCAUGGUGGGGGUUGGAAAGUUUCGGCGGUUGGGGAUGGACUCGCGGCUUAUCAGCUUGUUGGUGGGGUAGUGGCUUACCAAGGCUUUGACGGGUAGCCGGCCUGAGAGGGUGACCGGCCACAUUGGGACUGAGAUACGGCCCAGACUCCUACGGGAGGCAGCAGUGGGGAAUAUUGCACAAUGGGCGGAAGCCUGAUGCAGCAACGCCGCGUGCGGGAUGACGGCUUUCGGGUUGUAAACCGCUUUCGCCUGUGACGAAGCGUGAGUGACGGUAAUGGGUAAAGAAGCACCGGCUAACUACGUG
rnacentral:rRNA from 1 species